UCAGACGCUCCAUCGGAUCUCGUUGUGCCUCCCCAACUAUCAUUAUCUGAUAAAGUUGUUCGAGCUUAAAAAUCCAGAAGCAAACAUUCGCAUAGCAACACGAGCAGGAAUGCAAGAUUCCCCUUGUGCUCCCUCCCAUAAGGAAAAAGAACAUGCUCACUCCCCAGCCAUCGCCUCCUGAUUCGCAGCAAUGGCGCACCCCAAUCUUCUCCUCUGCACUGCAAUCUCAGUCUGCCUAGCCGCUACAGCUCUUGCUCCACCUCCUGGCACCACCCAACAAGCACCGACGACGACGACGGUGCGCGCCGGCUACUACUUCGCCGCCGACGCCAGCCUCCAGCCCCUGGCGCACCUCGAUGCCUCCCUCUACACCCACCUCUGCUACUCCUCCCUCGCCGUGCACCCCACGCGGCGCACGCUCCAGCUCCCCGCCGACCCGGCCCAGGCGCGCCUCCUCGCCACCUUCUCCCGGUCGCUCAAGGCCAAGAACCCGGCGCUGAGGACCCUGCUCUCCGUCGCCACCGCCGGGACCGACGCCGCCACCGCUGGCGCCGCAGCUCCGGACCCCGCGUUCGCCGCCAUGGCUGCCGACCCGGCGUCGCGGGCCGCGUUCGUCGACACGGCCGUCCAGGCGGCGCGAGAGAACGGCUUCGACGGGAUCGACGUCGCGUGGCGGUUCCCGGCGUCAGCGAUUGAGAUGGCCGACUUCGGGUUCCUCGUCUCCGACUUCCGCGCCGCAGCGCCCCCGGGGUUCCUCCUCACCACCACCGUCUACUUCUCCAACCACGUCUUCGGCGCCGGCGCGGACUACCCGUCGGAGGCGCUCGCGGGGAGCCUCGACUGGGUCAGCGUGAUGGCGUUCGGGCUCCAUCCGGCCGGCGCGGGGCCGGGAUCGGCCAGCUUCACGGCCUUCGACGCGCCGCUGUAUGACGCGGCGUCGCACUUCUCCGCGAGCUACGGCGUCGUGUCCUGGCUCGACGCGGGCGUGCCGGCGGGCAAGGUGGUGAUGGGGCUCCCGCUCUACGGCCGCUCGUGGUUCCUGCGCAACAAGGCCAACAGCGGCGUCGGCGCGCCGGUCGUAGCCGCGGGACCGAAGCAAAGAGGGACCAACACGACGGGGGCUAUGUCCUACGCCGAGGUCCAGGCGCUCGCCGCGACCGGUGCUGGACGCGCGCCGGUGAUGACGUCGUACGACAACGCGUCCGUGUCCUCGUACCUGGCGGUGGGCGACGUCUGGGUCGCCUUCGACGGCGCGGCCGUUGUCGCCGAGAAGCUGGGUUUCGCCGCGCGGCGCGGCCUGCUCGGCUACUUCCUGUGGCCGGUGAACUACGACGAUGCCAACCUCACGGUGUCCAGGAGAGCGUCAGAGGUCUGGGAGCAGAGCAGAGUUUCGUCGGAUUUGAGGAACGCCACCGGCGUCCGGCAAGGGAAGGCGCCACUUGAGCUGCCGCCGGCUCUCCGUUCUACCGCACCAGCAUCAGCACCGGUGCCCGUGCCGAUGUCUGCCUCGUUCUCAUGGAACAAGCUUGAUGCGCACCUGCAUUUCGCUGUCCUAAUUCUCCUCUUACAUCAGCAGCAAUAGUUACCACAUCGACCGAGUAAGGAUCUCACAUGUUUGUGUUCUGAUCCCGUUUAGGUGUAGCAUAGGAGCAGCUCCAAGUUUUCGAUAGGAUUUUUUGGUUCAGAAAAAGUAGAGAGUUCACAUCAACAAGAGAACAGACUUGUAAAUCACUUUGCAGUUGUCAGAUUUGCUCUGUGUAGCCAAUG